GCCGGGCGCGGUGGCUCAAGCCUGUAAUCCCAGCACUUUGGGAGGCCGAGACGGGCGGAUCACGAGGUCAGGAGAUCGAGACCAUCCGGGCUAACACGGUGAAACCCCGUCUCUACUAAAAAAUACAAAAAACUAGCCGGGCGCGGUAGCAGGCACCUGUAGUCCCAGCUACUCGGGNNNNNNNNNNCCCGAGUAGCUGGGACUACAGGUGCCUGCUACCGCGCCUGGCUAGUUUUUUGUAUUUUUUAGUAGAGAUGGGGUUUCACCAUGUUGGCCAGGCUGGUCUCGAACUCCUGACCUCAAGUGAUCCACCUGCCUCAG
rnacentral:SRP_RNA from 1 species